CGGGAGGUAACACGUGAGCAACCUGCCUUUCAGAGGGGGAUAACAGCCGGAAACGGCUGCUAAUACCGCAUGAUGUUGCGGGGGCGACAUGCCCCUGCACCAAAGGAGCAAUCCGCUGAAAGAUGGGCUCGCGUCCGAUUAGCCAGUUGGCGGGGUAACGGCCCACCAAAGCGACGAUCGGUAGCCGGACUGAGAGGUUGAACGGCCACAUUGGGACUGAGACACGGCCCAG
rnacentral:rRNA from 1 species